GACGAACGCUGGCGGCGUGCCUAAUACAUGCAAGUAGAACGCUGAAGGAGGAGCUUGCUUCUCCGGAUGAGUUGCGAACGGGUGAGUAACGCGUAGGUAACCUGCCUGGUAGCGGGGGAUAACUAUUGGAGACGAUAGCUAAUACCGCAUAAGAGUAGAUGUCGCAUGACAUUUGCUUAAAAGGUGCAACUGCACCACUACCAGAUGGACCUGCGUUGUAUUAGCUAGUUGGUGAGGUAACGGCUCACCAAGGCAACGAUACAUAGCCGACCUGAGAGGGUGAUCGGCCACACUGGGACUGAGACACGGCCCAGACUCCUACGGGAGGCAGCAGUAGGGAAUCUUCGGCAAUGGACGGAAGUCUGACCGAGCAACGCCGCGUGAGUGAAGAAGGUUUUCGGAUCGUAAAGCUCUGUUGUAAGAGAAGAACGAGUGUGAGAGUGGAAAGUUCACACUGUGACGGUAUCUUACCAGAAAGGGACGGCUAACUACGU
rnacentral:rRNA from 1 species